GCCGGUUUAGCUCAGCUGGUAGAGCAGCGGUUUUGUAAACCGAAGGUCGCGGGUUCGAGUCCUGCAACCGGCA
rnacentral:tRNA from 1 species